GGCUUGAAUGAGCUCAAAUACUUUUUUCUGUUUGUAAGCUGUAUCUAUGUAAGAGGCUCAGUAUGUGAAUAUAAAUAUGCACCACCGGGUUUGUGUGUGUCACCACAGUUGGAGGUGUUUAAUGAGCACUGAUCGAUGUCUCAUCUGCGCCUCCUUAGCGCUAAUGCAAACAUUUCAUCAGGACAAUGGAACCGUUCAGCCUCUGGUACACACAGAGAACCCAACAGACAAACAGCACAAACCAAACAACGUAUGCAAAUAAGCCAGACAGUCAAGCUUUUGUUCUUACACUCUGUUACAGACAAUUACCCAGUAAGUGCAAUAAACACACCACUGGUAACAAUUUAUAUCUUUUUAGCAUCUUUGAAGGUGUGAAGGAGGUUGGAGUGCAGUCAGCCUGCAGAACAGGCAUGCCAAUAGUGCUUACUGUCCUCUGUGAGUAAAGUGAUUUCUGACAACUCCUAAAUUAAUCCCUGCAGCUAGAUCACAGCCCCGCUUUAUGACUGUUUGUGUGUGUGAGAGGGAAAGUUAGAGACAGAAGUAAUAGCUUGGUGUUAUAAACAGACUCGAGUCGAUAAGUGAUCUAGCUCCUGCUGGGUGGAGAAUGAGAGAAUGAUAUUCAAUUCAGACCCCAAAAUAGGUAAAAAACAAACAAACAAAAAAAAAAAACUCCUGCAGGUUUACUGCUGCUGCUGCAUGAGGGAAUAAAAGGAUGACACUAUUAUUUUACUUUUCCUAUAAAGCUAAUAGCCGCAGAGGUGAGAUAUAGUUAAAAGGCAAAUAUGGGGCAGACUUCAAUGAAAGGGUACCUGGUUACUUUACUUUCUCUCUCACACAAUUUUUUAAAAAGCAUUUCCUCAUUUAGGACUUCACAUCACAGGUGGGGAUUCAGCAAUAUAUGAACAACUUCCAUCCCAUCUCCAAGCUUUCAAUAUUAACAAAAAUCCUUGAAUCUGAGGUAAUUUUGCAGUUAAAACAGUUUUUAUCUCAAAGUCAAAGUAAACUUUACUGUCAUCUCUGCUAUAUACAGUACAGUAGAUAGAGAGAUGAGACGACGAAGCUCC
ensembl:lncRNA